ACGUUAGCGGCGGACGGGUGAGUAACACGUGGGUAACCUACCUAUAAGACUGGGAUAACUUCGGGAAGCCGGAGCUAAUACCGGAUAACAUUUGGAACCGCAUGGUUCUAAAGUGAAAGAUGGUUUUGCUAUCACUUAUAGAUGGACCCGCGCCGUAUUAGCUAGUUGGUAAGGUAACGGCUUACCAAGGCAACGAUACGUAGCCGACCUGAGAGGGUGAUCGGCCACACUGGAACUGAGACACGGUCCAG
rnacentral:rRNA from 1 species